GACGAACGCUGGCGGCGUGCUUAACACAUGCAAGUCGAACGGAAAGGCCCUGCUUUUGUGGGGUGCUCGAGUGGCGAACGGGUGAGUAACACGUGAGUAACCUGCCCUUGACUUUGGGAUAACUUCAGGAAACUGGGGCUAAUACCGGAUAGGAGCUCCUGCUGCAUGGUGGGGGUUGGAAAGUUUCGGCGGUUGGGGAUGGACUCGCGGCUUAUCAGCUUGUUGGUGGGGUAGUGGCUUACCAAGGCUUUGACGGGUAGCCGGCCUGAGAGGGUGACCGGCCACAUUGGGACUGAGAUACGGCCCAGACUCCUACGGGAGGCAGCAGUGGGGAAUAUUGCACAAUGGGCGGAAGCCUGAUGCAGCAACGCCGCGUGCGGGAUGACGGCCUUCGGGUUGUAAACCGCUUUCGCCUGUGACGAAGCGUGAGUGACGGUAAUGGGUAAAGAAGCACCGGCUAACUACGUGCCAGCAGCCGCGGUGAUACGUAGGGUGCGAGCGUUGUCCGGAUUUAUUGGGCGUAAAGGGCUCGUAGGUGGUUGAUCGCGUCGGAAGUGUAAUCUUGGGGCUUAACCCUGAGCGUGCUUUCGAUACGGGUUGACUUGAGGAAGGUAGGGGAGAAUGGAAUUCCUGGUGGAGCGGUGGAAUGCGCAGAUAUCAGGAGGAACACCAGUGGCGAAGGCGGUUCUCUGGGCCUUUCCUGACGCUGAGGAGCAAAAGCGUGGGGAGCGAACAGGCUUAGAUACCCUGGUAGUCCACGCUGUAAACGGUGGGUACUAGGUGUGGGGUCCAUUCCACGGGUUCCGUGCCGUAGCUAACGCUUUAAGUACCCCGCCUGGGGAGUACGGCCGCAAGGCUAAAACUCAAAGGAAUUGACGGGGCCCCGCACAAGCGGCGGAGCAUGCGGAUUAAUUCGAUGCAACGCGUAGAACCUUACCUGGGUUUGACAUGGAUCGGGAGUGCUCAGAGAUGGGUGUGCCUCUUUUGGGGUCGGUUCACAGGUGGUGCAUGCCUGUCGUCAGCUCGUGUCGUGAGAUGUUGGGUUAAGUCCCGCAACGAGCGCAACCCUUGUUCACUGUUGCCAGCACGUUAUGGUGGGGACUCAGUGGAGACCGCCGGGGUCAACUCGGAGGAAGGUGGGGAUGACGUCAAGUCAUCAUGCCCCUUAUGUCCAGGGCUUCACGCAUGCUACAAUGGCUGGUACAGAGAGUGGCGAGCCUGUGAGGGUGAGCGAAUCUCGGAAAGCCGGCCUCAGUUCGGAUUGGGGUCUGCAACUCGACCUCAUGAAGUCGGAGUCGCUAGUAAUCGCAGAUCAGCAACGCUGCGGUGAAUACGUUCCCGGG
rnacentral:rRNA from 1 species